GGAAUAUUGGACAAUGGGGGGAACCCUGAUCCAGCCAUGCCGCGUGUGUGAAGAAGGCCUUUUGGUUGUAAAGCACUUUAAGCGAGGAGGAGGCUCCCAGUAUUAAUACUACUGGAGAGUGGACGUUACUCGCAGAAUAAGCACCGGCUAACUCUGUGCCAGCAGCCGCGGUAAUACAGAGGGUGCAAGCGUUAAUCGGAUUUACUGGGCGUAAAGCGUGCGUAGGUGGCCAAUUAAGUCAAAUGUGAAAUCCCCGAGCUUAACUUGGGAAUUGCAUUCGAUACUGGUUGGCUAGAGUAUGGGAGAGGAUGGUAGAAUUCCAGGUGUAGCGGUGAAAUGCGUAGAGAUCUGGAGGAAUACCGAUGGCGAAGGCAGCCAUCUGGCCUAAUACUGACACUGAGGUACGAAAGCAUGGGGAGCAAACAGGAUUAGAUACCCUUG
rnacentral:rRNA from 1 species